rnacentral:rRNA from 1 species
GUUAAACCAGUAAGUUAAGUUAUAUAUUUUGGUAAAAAGACAGUUAGACAGAAAUUAGCUUAUCGAUUUCCCCUAUAAAAGUAAAAUUUAAUAUGGGCAUAAUAGAAUAAUAAUAGCUUUAUUGUUGAAUCUGUGAUAUCUUUAAGGGAAACUGGGAUUGGAUACCCCAUUAUUUCUAGAUGUAAAUAAAAAAAUUUACCAGAGUACUACAAAUAAAGUAAUUUAAAACUCAAAGAGCUUGGCGGUAUUUUAGACCACUUAGGGGAACCUGUCUCAUAAUCGACAAUCCGCGUUAAACCUCACCUUUUUUAGUAAUCAGCUUGUAUACCGUUGUCAUCAGGUAACUUUUAAAGAAAAAAGAAGUUAGCUAAGAAAUUUUUUGGAUUAAGAUGUCAAAUCAAGGUGCAGUUUAUAAAAAGGAGAAGAUGGGUUACAAUUACAAAUUAUAAUACGAAUACGCAUAUUGUAAAUAGCUUGAAGGAGGACUUAAAAGUAAAUUUAUAUAUAUAAAUAGCUUGAACAAGGCUCUAAAAUGUGCACACAU